AGGUAGCUCAAUGGCGGAGCACUCGGCUGUUAACCGAUAGGCUGUGGGUUCGAGUCCCACC
rnacentral:tRNA from 1 species